rnacentral:sRNA from 1 species
GCCAGGUGUAGUGUCACACACCUGUAAUUCCAGCUACUCUGGAGGCUGAGGCAGGAGGAUCACAAGUUCAAAGCCAUGCUUGGCAACUUGAUGAGACCCUAUCUCAA